rnacentral:rRNA from 1 species
CAAUAGCGUAUAUUAAAGUUGUUGCAGUUAGAACGCUCGUAGUCGGAUUUCGGGGCGGGCCGACCGGUCUGCCGAUGGGUACGCACUGGUCGGCGCGUCCUUCCUUCCGGAGACCGUCCCUACUCUUAACUGAGCGGGGGCGGGAGACGGAACGUUUACUUUGAAAAAAUCAGAGUGUUUCAAGCAGGCAGCUCGCUCUUGCAUGGAUUAGCAUGGGAUAAUGAAAUAGGACUUUGGUGCUAUUUUGUUGGUUUCGAACACCGAAGUAAUGAUGAGAAGGGACAGUCAGGGGCACUCGUAUUCCGCCGAGAGAGGUGAAAUUCUCAGACCAGCGGAAGACGAACCACUGCGAAAGCAUUUGCCAGGGAUGUUUNCACUG